UAUUGGUCAAUGGGCUUACGCCUGAACCAGCCAAGUCGCGUGAGGGAAGACUGCCCUAUGGGUUGUAAACCCCUUUUGUCAGGGAGCAACGCCGACUACGUGUAGCCGGACUGAGAGUACCUGAAGAAAAAGCAUCGGCUAACUCCGUGCCAGCAGCCGCGGUAAUACGGAGGAUGCGAGCGUUAUCCGGAUUUAUUGGGUUUAAAGGGUGCGUAGGCGGAAUGCCAAGUCAGCGGUAAAAUUUCGGGGCUCAACCCCGUCGUGCCGUUGAAACUGACACCCUUGAGUGAGUGAGAAGUAAGCGGAAUGCGUGGUGUAGCGGUGAAAUGCAUAGAUAUCACGCAGAACGCCGAUUGCGAAGGCAGCUUACCGGCGCUCAACUGACGCUGAGGCACGAAAGUGCGGGUAUCG
rnacentral:rRNA from 1 species